GUCUUUUUGUAUUAAAUAUAAAGUCUAACCUGCCCAUUGAUAUAAAUUUAAAAGGCUGCGGUAUAUUGACCGUACAAAGGUAGCAUAAUCAUUAGUUUUUUAAUUGAAAACUUGUAUGAAUGGUUGAAUGAGAAAUUAACUUUUUUUUAUAAAAUAUUGAAUUUUAUUUUUUAGUUAAAAAGCUAAAAUUUAUUUAAAAGACGAGAAGACCCUAUAGAGUUUAAUAGUUUAUUUUUAUUAUGUUAGAGGUUUAUAAAUAUUAUUAAAAAUAUAACUAUUUUAUUGGGGUGAUAAUAAAAUUUAAUUAACUUUUAUCUAUUCUAAAUAUUUAUAUAUAAAUAUUUGAUCCAAUUAUAUUGAUUAAAAAUUUAAAUUACCUUAGGGAUAACAGCGUAAUUUUUUUUUAAGUUCUUAUUAAUAAAAGAUUUUGCGACCUCGAUGUUGGAUUAAGAUUAAAUUUUAGGUGCAGCAGUUUAAAUUUUAAGUCUGUUCGACUUUUAAAUUCUU
rnacentral:rRNA from 1 species